rnacentral:rRNA from 1 species
AUAGAGACUCAGAGCUGCAUAUCAAUAAGCGGAGGAAAAGUAACUAACAAGGAUUCCCUUAGUAACGGCGAGUGAAGCGGGAAGAGCUCAAAUUUGAAAUCUUCAAGGUUCUACCUUGACGAAUUGUAGUUUAUAGAAGUGUUUUCUGUUAGUAGAGUGGCAAAAGUUCUUUGGAAUAGGACAUCAUAGAGGGUGAGAAUCCCGUAUUUGGUCAUUCCUUCUAGCGUUGUGAUACACUUUCAACGAGUCGGAUUGUUUGGGAAUGCAGUCCAAAAUGGGUGGUAAAUUUCAUCUAAAGCUAAAUAUUGGCGAGAGACCGAUAGCGAACAAGUACCGUGAGGGAAAGAUGAAAAGAACUUUGAAAAGAGAGUUAAACAGUACGUGAAAUUGUCAAAAGGGAAGCGUUUGACACCAGUGUUGUUUUCUCGAAAAUCAAUUACUGAUGGUUUGAUUUGCUAGGUAGUUAAUGACUUCAUCAGCUUGCUCUAGUUCUUUAUGACUUUCUUGAAUGCACUUUUCGUUUAACAAGUCAACAUCAAUUUCUUUUGUUGUAAAAGGGUAUGAGGAAGGUGGCUUUCUUUUCGGAGAAAGUGUUUAUAGCCUUGUGCCUCUGCAAUCGGAGAGAUUGAGGUCUGCAGCGUAGAUCCUUCGGGGUUAGAUACAUUUGUGCUAAGUUAUAGCUUUUCAUAGACAACUUGUUGACUAUGUUUAGUCUUGUAGCUUACUCGCAUGACGCUAUUUUACCUACGCUUAGGAUGUUGACGAGACUGUCGAUCUC